AGAACGAACGCUGGCGGCAUGCCUAACACAUGCAAGUCGAACGAGACCUUCGGGUCUAGUGGCGCACGGGUGCGUAACGCGUGGGAAUCUGCCCUUGGGUUCGGAAUAACAGUUGGAAGCGACUGCUAAUACCGGAUGAUGACGUUAAGUCCAAAGAUUUAUCGCCCAGGGAUGAGCCCGCGUAGGAUUAGCUAGUGUGAGGUAAGCUCACAAGCGACGAUCCUUAGCUGGUCUGAGAGGAUGAUCAGCCACACUGGGACUGACGACACGGCCCAGACUCCGUACGGGAGCAGCAGGUGGGGAACUAGUGGACAAUGGGACAAAGCUGACUCCGAGCAAU
rnacentral:rRNA from 1 species